AUUGAACGCUGGCGGAAUGCUUUACACAUGCAAGUCGAACGGCAGCACGGACUUCGGUCUGGUGGCGAGUGGCGAACGGGUGAGUAAUGUAUCGGAACGUGCCCAGUCGUGGGGGAUAACGUAGUGAAAAUUACGCUAAUACCGCAUACGAUCUAUGGAUGAAAGCGGGGGAUCGCAAGACCUCGCGCGAUUGGAGCGGCCGAGAUCAGAUUAGGUAGUUGGUGGGGUAAAGGCCCACCAAGCCAACGAUCUGUAGCUGGUCUGAGAGGACGACCAGCCACACCGGAACUGAGACACGGUCCAGACGCCUACGGGAGGCAGCAGUGGGGAAUUUUGGACAAUGGGCGAAAGCCUGAUCCAGCCAUUCCGCGUGCAGGAUGAAGGCCCUCGGGUUGUAAACUGCUUUUGUACAGAACGAAAAGGUUUCUACUAAUACUAGGAGCUCAUGACGGUACUGUAAGAAUAAGCACCGGCUAACUACGUGCCAGCCGCCGCAGUAA
rnacentral:rRNA from 1 species